rnacentral:rRNA from 1 species
GGCUGGCGGCAUGCCUUACACAUGCAAGUCGAACGGCAGCACGGGGCAACCUGGUGGCGAGUGGCGAACGGGUGAGUAAUGCAUCGGAACGUACCUUUCAGUGGGGGAUAACGUAGCGAAAGUUACGCUAAUACCGCAUAUUCUGUGAGCAGGAAAGCAGGGGAUCGCAAGACCUUGCGCUGAUUGAGCGGCCGAUGUCAGAUUAGCUAGUUGGUGAGGUAAAGGCUCACCAAGGCGACGAUCUGUAGCGGGUCUGAGAGGAUGAUCCGCCACACUGGAACUGAGACACGGUCCAGACUCCUACGGGAGGCAGCAGUGGGGAAUUUUGGACAAUGGGGGCAACCCUGGUCCAGCCAUGCCGCGUGAGUGAAGAAGGCCUUCGGGUUGUAAAGCUCUUUCGGCCGGGAAGAAAUCGCACGGGCUAAUACCCUGUGUGGAUGACGGUACCGGAAUAAGAAGCACCGGCUAACUACGUGCCAGCAGCCGCGGUAAUACGUAGGGUGCGAGCGUUAAUCGGAAUUACUGGGCGUAAAGCGUGCGCAGGCGGUUUUGUAAGACAGGCGUGAAAUCCCCGGGCUCAACCUGGGAACUGCGCUUGUGACUGCAAGGCUAGAGUACGGCAGAGGGGGGUGGAAUUCCACGUGUAGCAGUGAAAUGCGUAGAGAUGUGGAGGAACACCAAUGGCGAAGGCAGCCCCCUGGGUCGAUACUGACGCUCAUGCACGAAAGCGUGGGUAGCAAACAGGAUUAGAUACCCUGGUAGUCCACGCCCUAAACGAUGUCAACUAGUGUUGGGUGGGUAAAACCAUUUAGUACCGGAGCUAACGCGUGAAGUUGACCGCCUGGGGAGUACGGCCGCAAGGUUAAAACUCAAAUGAAUUGACGGAAGGGCGAAUU